UCCCUCCUCCCAAGUUAAACAUGAGGGCAUAAUUUUCUAUUCAAUCAUAUUUGGCAAAAUGUAGCAAACAUUAGGGUUGUCACAUUUGGAUAUGUAAAGCAUUGCAUUAUAUGAAUAGUUUACCUGCUGUAGGUCAAGUCAUGCUAGUGAAAGUCACUAAGGAACACAUGGGCACCAAAAAUACAUUGUGUCUAAGGCAUUCUUCUACUAAAUUCACCUUGACAGAUCUCCUUACAUUACAAUUCAUGGUUGGUACACAGAAAGCAAAAUACCAAAGCUUCGGGGAGUACAUUCGGUUUGACAAUUUGCCUUAGAAAGUGACUUGAAUGUACAAAGAUACUUAAUGCACUUAUUUUUAAAUGUAAGUUGGCAAAUGUACAAUUGACAGCAGUAUGCAAGUGUGUAACUGCAGAGGUGUCUGCAUGCUUGUGUUGGGAUUCAAGAGCUAAGCUGAUGGGAUACAACAGAAUGGAGAUCAUUUGACCAAAGCUGCAUUGAUGUGCAAUGAGUGGCUGUUGACCACUUUGCCAGGCAAGUUGAAAGUCGAGUUGCAUUUUUAUUUUUAUGGUUACCGAUUGCCCGCCUUUGUCAUAUGCUAGUUCGAUUUUUUAUUUUAUUUAUUUAACAAUUAUUAACAACUGUACAGAUCCCAUUUUUAUUGUAUGUAACGUACAAUGCAAUUGAGUUUGGCAGUUUUUUUUAAAGAAAAGGUUGUUAUUUCUUGCAAUUGUAUAAUGAUUAGCGAAUGUUCCUUGUUUGAGGAGUUGGGAUGGGCAAGAUUAAGUCUUAAUGUUUUCAGAAUUU